rnacentral:rRNA from 1 species
CCUACGGGAGGCAGCAGUCGAGAAUCAUUCACAAUGGGGGAAACCCUGAUGGUGCGACGCCGCGUGCGGGAUGAAGGCCCUACGGGUCGUAAACCGCUUUUGCACGGGGAUAACACCCUCCACUUGUGGAGGUCUGCAGGUACCGUGCGAAUAAGGGCCGGCUAAUUCCGUGCCAGCAGCCGCGGUAAUACGGAAGGCCCGAGCGUUAUCCGGAUUCAUUGGGCUUAAAGGGAGCGUAGGCGGGCGUUCAAGUCAGCUGUAAAAUCGCGCGGCUCAACCGCGCCCCGCAGUUGAAACUGGACGCCUUGAGUUCACAACAGGCAGGCGGAAUUCGUGGUGGAGCGGUGAAAUGCAUAGAUAGCACGAGGAACCCCGAUUGCGAAGGCAGCCUGCCGGGGUGCGACUGACGCUGAGGCUCGAAGGUGCGGGUAUCAAACAGGAUUAGAUACCCUUGUAGUC